UACGUAGGGGGCAAGCGUUGUCCGGAAUUAUUGGGCGUAAAGAGCGUGUAGGCGGCCAGAUAAGUCCGCUGUGAAAUCUCGAGGCUCAACUUCGAGCUGUCGGCGGAAACUAUCUGGCUAGAGUCCGGAAGAGGAGAAUGGAAUUCCUGGUGUAGCGGUGAAAUGCGCAGAUAUCAGGAAGAACACCCGUGGCGAAGGCGGUUCUCUGGGACGGUACUGACGCUGAGACGCGAAAGCGUGGGGAGCGAACAGG
rnacentral:rRNA from 1 species